rnacentral:tRNA from 2 species
CUAGGAGUGCCAGAAAUGUUAUGGGAUUGGUUUAGGACCAAUAUAUGGUUGUGAGCCCUCCUAGU